rnacentral:rRNA from 1 species
UACAGAGGUCUCGAGCGUUGUUCGGAUUCAUUGGGCGUAAAGGGCGCGUAGGCGGCGGGGUAAGUCUGGUGUGAAUCUCGGAGCUCAACUCCGAAAUUGCACUGGAUACUGCUCUGCUAGAGGGCUGGAGAGGAGAUCGGAAUUCACGGUGUAGCAGUGAAUGCGUAGAUAUCGUGAGGAAGACCAGUGGCGAAGGCGGAUCUCUGGACAGCUCCUGACGCUGAGGCGCGAAGGCUAGGGGAGCAAACGGG